rnacentral:rRNA from 1 species
AUGUUCUUUCGCGGCAUCGCCACCGUUGACGAUGCUGUCGAAAGAGGAGGCGGCCAGCUUUGCCUGCUCCUGCUUCAUCGCCAUCUCCUUGUGGCACUUGGAGCACAUGUUCAUGGUCGCCGCGCUGCCGAAGAAGCCACAAUUAUUGACGCAAAGGAUGGGGCCCUCCCGAGACUGGCAGCCGGUCUCCUUGUGCUCCAUGGCUUUGAUUUAACUGGAAAUCAGACGCAACACGGUCAAGACAAACACUUCACAUGGGCUAUUAUAGACAGCACAGGCACAAAUUGUAUUUCAGAAGAUCACUGCAAAGUUGGCAAUUUACAGAUGAACAAAGUAUAA